CUCUAGCCUGUUUGAAUCACAUGCCCUCAAAAUAUAAUUAACAUUGAAGAUGAUGGCAAAGCAAAUAUUAUGCAUGUUUGCGCCAUCAUGUUGAAUUUGAGCAAAGAACUUCCUGUUCACAUUGUGAUGUGGUAAUAAUGUCGCUGUAAAGUGCUACACCAAACUCAGCCCUCUACCCACAACUCAACUUUAAAUUUGUAGUAGGAAACACGAAACUGAUCUGUGAACAGUUAUGUGGUAACUUAAAGGUUAUUUUUAAAGCACUUUUUCAUGUGUUCCCAUUAGAAGAGAAACAGUGUAUGUGUAUUAUAUAUUUGUCACGCAAAGAUGUUUACAUAUGAAGAGUUAAAGUUCUCAUGUUCAGAAUGAAUGCUAACUAUGAAACAGCAGGAUACACUGAAGCACACACUAGUCUACAGCAUUAUGGGGAAGUACUAGUUUACUUCACCAUGCUUGAAAUUUAGCCCCUCCCCCAGACACACGCACAAAACACAAACACAUCCAAACUUACGUUUGUCCUUGAAGUCUUGAGAGUAGCUGGAACACAAAUAAUUUGGAUUUUUGUUGAAUACUAUAUCAGCAUAGAGUCACAAACAUACCAGCAUGAGAGCGGAAAAACAGAUGGGAAAGAUACAGCAUGCUCAUAUGAUCUAAUCUAAUCUGAAUCUAAAACAAGAAGCUACACUACUUCCUUAGCCAAAGAGGCAAUCCUCAUUUACAAACUUUGAGAGCUGGUAGAGAAGAAUUGCUUCGUUGGCCCAAAACAAUACUGAAAUGUAAGGUUUAUGGCAGCUACGUGAAGACAUACUAGACUUGAAAACAUAUGAGAUGGGUGAGGUCACCAGGAAAUACUAUGAUAUGUGACAGAAUAUCUGCAUGAAGCCCACCUGCAUAGGAAUGACAAAAGGGACCACCAAGAUUAAAUGCAAGGUUUCCAUGGAAACCAGUUGAAGGCUGACUGCACUGACUUUAAAUGCCUGCAUAGACAUUACAGACUGAGUAACAUAGGCCUUUCCUCUUUAAGCAUUUUAUAGCUGUCGGGACAGGAAUUUUACUUUGCACAGAUUGUUCAUCGAUUCUUGUGGAUGCUGGGAUGACCAAAAAUAUGUCAGGCUCGCUAACCAAAGCCAUAAACUUAGGCUGCAAAACACUUGAGAAAAUAACAUUGUUGCUGGAGCCCCGAAUUACAUGUGCAUAUUAUGCAUACCAAAUGGUUUCACAUCAGUUUGCAUUAAGGCAAAGUUGAUUGUUCAAUUUGGGUAGGAUCAUGAAAGUUAUGUGUCUGUCAAACUUUAUGGCAGUCUUUAAUAAGUAAGCAGAUAAUUAUACUUGAAGCAUCCGUGCAAUAACAUAUUUUAGCAAAUGCAUCUGCAGUGAUACCCAGGUCCUAGUAGUGGCUCAUAUGAGUUAUUGUGAUGCAUAUUCACUAUGGAAAGGCAAAUUUGGUUUAUCCAGUUUUCUAUUUUACAACCACAGCUUUAAAAAUGGGGUGCUGCCACAAAAGUGACAGCUAACUUCCAAAAAUGUAUAUGUGUAGAAUGUAAAAAGUUGCCUCAAUGAGAGGGUUACAGUUAUAUAUUUAUAUACAGUAUUUUUAUUCAGGGCAUUUUUGAAAACUGUAACAGAAGAUUAAUGAUAAAAUUGUAAAGAGAAUUUGUAUUGUAAUUCUAAGCCUUUCCCUGCAUGACUAUGAUGCAAAAAUCUAUUUUUGUGUAGCUAGCUGGAUGUUGAUCACUUCUCUGUGCCAAAUCUCAACUCAGUCUUUAACCUGGUUAAAGAAUGCCGAUCACGUGUUUGUUUUCAUCAAAGGACGUCAGUCAAACUAUUUGUUCAGGCUCGAUUUGGCGCAACGCCUUUAGAGCCUAAACGAUUUUGAGCUUUGUUUUGUAAAAUGCUAUAAAGGGGCUUUUCUGUACACGUCUUUUUGUGUAUGAUUGAAAAUUCUAAAUAAUAUAGCAUUUAAUAAACCAAAUGAAAGAUAAGAGCAUUUAAAAACUGCUUUGUUAAUAACUGAAAAGCCCUCAGACCACGAUUAUUGUUUUAUUAUAUAGUUAUAUUAUAACUUAACUACAUUAGUAGGUCUGCAGUGGUUAUAGUAUAUCAAUCCUACAUUGUGUGGGUGUAAAGUUAGCCUGAUCUAAUACAAGGACUCGGAUCAUUCUGCGUCUCUAACAAAUGCCUCUGCGGUGUGAGCUGUUGGCCGCUAGGCCUCAUUUCCAUUUCGACACUUACGCAGCGAUUGCAACGUGGCGUCAGAUGUUUGGAAAUUAUCCUAGCUAGAUUUCUCCGAAGCUAGGUUUCACAGAACACUCUUCUCGAGGUACCACUUAAGUCGUAUUUUAUACAUUCAGAAUUUCCUACAACUUGCACUUCAUAGAGUAGGCUAUAUAGCAUUAACGGAGGUGGCUCGAGUCACCAUAAUUAUUAAACUCGAUAAACCAGCCACGGAUAAGAACUAAUGAUGGUCAAACGAAUUAUUUUAUUUUGUGAUUAUUUGUGGAUUCAACUAAUGUGGGACAAAUAUCAGUGCCAAAAUACUUUAGAAAAUUUAAAAUAAAUAUACCUAAAUACAAAUGUGUUUGUUAAACUUAAAGGCCAUGAGACCGGUGUUGACAGGCUUAUUAUUGUGGAAAAGGUGAAAAGCGUUUGCCAAGAUCCUGGCUUGUCGAAAAAGAUUAAAAUAGAGUUGUUUUAUGGCUGUAUAACAACUAGCGGGGAUCACUCGAGUUAGACCAAGAAGACACACAGGCCCAUAGAGGUAAGAUCUUGGGAGAGCAGGGACGAGGUAAUCAAAUGAGAUUAUUAGUUUAUUAGCUAUUUAUUCAGAUAUCAGCUAUUUGCAAUUUAAAUGAAUAAAUAUUAAUAUUGAUAAAACACUAGCAGAAUUCUGUUUUAGUUUAUACAGUCAGAUCAUUGCUUGCAGCGUUGCCUGUUGAUAAAACUAUAUUGGCUACUUCAUUUGAUAACUCUUGUAUUAGAUGCUCUGAUCCGAUUCGACACACAUUCAUCAAAUGUAAAUUAAAUCUAUGAACUGCAGAUAAACUGAUAAUUAUAAUAAAUUAUAUAAACUAAAUGAUUAAUGUUAAAAUGUGGUUUGUCUGUUGAAUUCCCUUCUCAUUCUCAGCGGCGGAUUGAAUUACGUGGAGUGCUGCCUCAACACCAACCCCCUGUCGAAGGUUUAAUAGGCAAUAAAAUUUAAUUGCUGAACUCCAAAACGUUACAACUCUUGGCCAGGAGACUC